CAAUAGCGUAUAUUAAAGUUGUUGCAGUUAAAAAGCUCGUAGUUGGAUUUGUGGCGGUUCCUGUGGUCCGAUUUCGGUACUUUCGGGGACUGCCAUCCUUGGGUGGAUCCUGUGUGGCAUUAGGUUGUCGUGCAGGGGAUGCCCAUCGUUUACUGUGAAAAAAUUAGAGUGUUCAAAGCAGGCUUAUGCCGUUGAAUAUAUUAGCAUGGAAUAAUGAGAUAGGACCUCGGUACUAUUUUGUUGGUUUGCGCACCGAGGUAAUGAUUAAUAGGGACAGUUGUGGGUAUUCGUAUUCCAUUGUCAGAGGUGAAAUUCUUGGAUUUCUGGAAGACGAACGAAUGCGAAAGCAUUUACCAAGGAUGUUUUCAUUAA
rnacentral:rRNA from 1 species